GCGACUGUGGUCCAGCGGCUAUGACAGUGGCUUCCCAAGCCUCUAACCCGGGUUCGAAUCCCGGCAGUCGCA
rnacentral:tRNA from 1 species